AUAAUUUUUAACAAAAAAAAACCGCCUUCAAAAAGGAAACUAAAAAGUGAAAAAUAAAUUUACUUAGUACAAAGUAAUUCGUAUUUUGAUUUAGUUAAUCAGAAAUGAUUAAAUAAAUAUUUUAUAAUUUUGAAGUCGGUGCCAAGUAAAACAAUAACUACUCUAGUAUCUACUCAUAAGUUGUAUUCAGUUUUCUUUCAUAAUUUGUUUCAUUGACUAUUAGGUUGAAUACUGUUAUUAUUCUGUUAUUGUUUUGACAUAUCUAAUAAUAUUUUUUGUACUUGUUUGUUGUGUGUCUGUUGUUUGUAUUUGUUUUUGUAGCCAGGUUGUUGUAGUAUUUACUUGGCACCAACUUCAAAAUUAUAAAAUAUUUAUUUAAUCAUUUCUGAUUAACUAAAUCAAAAUACGAAUUACUUUGUACUAAGUAAAUUUAUUUUUCACUUUUUAGUUUCCUUUUUGAAGGCGGUUUUUUUUUUGUUAAAAAUUAUUUUAUUUUACAAUUUUUAGUGAUGGGUACACCUAACAAGGAUGCUUUUUCUCUUAUGUCGAGGGUUCGGAAACAUACACAAUACACAAGCACAAACACCCAGAUCAUGACAUACGUCUAUAUGGCCAAUACAAAAGUCUGUCGUGCACGGGGAUUGAACCCACUAACGCCAGCGCAACAGCCGGUGCUGUGACCGCUGCGCUAACGCGUCGACAUACUAUGAGUAAAGUUCGCUAUCAGGUGUACGUAAUAACACCCGGGACUGACAGCCUAGCGUGUUCUCCGAGGCUAGGUUGGGAGAACCACAAGGAUUAACAACUAAACCGAAAAUAAAUAUUUGUAUAAACAUAAAUAUCCACUCCGAGCUGGAAUAGAACCCGCGACCGUUGGUGUUUAGGCGCCGCCGACACGGUACAGGCACCAUUAUAUCAAAGCGGUCGUCAAACAGCAAAACGUAACUGCUGUAAAUUGUUGAGAAAUUCUCUCGAGUGUUUAUGGGCUCCAUCAUCAAACCUGGUCCUGCGACACAGAUGAUCACACAACAGGUAAUUGCUAUAAAUCGUUAAAAAUUUCCCUCGACUAUCUUUCGUCUCCAUCAUCAGACUUUAAUGGCACUUGUAACUCAUAUAGGUGCAAAGUUCUCAUCAAUAGAAACGAAUUAAGUGCAAACAGCAGGUAAUUGCUAUAAGUCGUUGAAGAGUACCUUCGACUAUCUUUCGUCUCCAUCAUCAGACUGAAAUGGCACUUAUAACUCAUAUAUAUGCAAAGUUAUCAUCAAUAGAAACGAAUUAAGUUCAAACAGCCGGUAAUUGCUAUAAAUCGUUAAAGAGUUCCCUCGACUAACUUUUGUCUCCAUCAUCAGACUGUAAUGGCACUUAUAACUCAUACAGGUGCAAAGUUCUCAUCAAUAGAAACGAAUUAAGUUCAAAAAGCAGGUAAUUGCUAUAAAUUGUUGAAGAGUUCCUUCGACUAUCUUUCUUCUCCAUCAUCAGAUCGACUCCAGACCUUUAUUAAAUAGUAGUGCUUUAUAGUACUUAAUGAAAACAUGAUUAAAUUUACUAGUCACCCUUACGAUUUUUGAAAGUUUCCCUCGAUUUCUCUGGGAUCCCAUCAUCAGAUCCUGGUUUCCUUAUCAUGGUACCAAACUAUGAAUAUCUCCUUUCCAACAAAAAAAGAAUUAUCAAAAUCGGUUCAUAAACGAAGAAGUUAUCUCCGAACAUACAUAAAAAAAAAAAU
rnacentral:misc_RNA from 1 species